AUUAGUCCCUGGCCUUAUCUUAUAGUUAGGAUAGCCUUAUGCCUAUCCCACGCAUGCUUAAACUCCUUUACUGUGUUAACCUCUACCACUUAAGCUGGAAGGCUAUUGCAUUUAUCCACUACCCUCUCAUUAAAGUAAUACUUCCUGAUAUUAUUUUUAAACCUUUUUGCCCCUCUAAUUUAAGACUGUGUCCUCUUAUUGUGGUAGUUUUUCUUCUUUUAAAUCUAGUCUCUUCCUUUACUGUGUUGAUUCCCUUUAUGUAUUUAAAUGUUUCUAUCAUAUCCCCCCUGUCUCGUCUUUCCUCCAAGCUCUACAUGUUAAGAUCCUUUAACCUUUCCUGGUAAGUUUUAUCCUGCAAUCCAUGAACCAGUUUAGUAGCCCUUCUCUGAACUCUCUCUAAAGUAUCAAUAUCCUUCUGAAGGUACAGUCUCCAGUACUGCGUACAAUACUCCAAGUGAGGUCUCACCAGUGUUCUGUACAAUGGCAUGAGCACGUCUCUUUCUACUGCUAUAUAACCAAGCAUUCUGCUAGCAUUUCCUGCUGCUCUAUUACAUUGUCUGCCUACCUUUAAGUCAUCUGUAAUAAUCAUCCCUAUAUCACCUUGCCCCUGGCAGCAGCAAGUUUCACAGGGUUAUUCAUUAACAUUAGAAUUCAAAUGAAAUUUCAGUGAAUUUCACGGUAAAAAGAGAGGAACUGGAAACUUUUUUGAAGUCCGAGAUGCUUCCAGUUUGGCUACUUGGGCCCUAAAUUUUGAAAUUCACUUUGAAUUCUCACUUUGGUGAUUAACCUGGUCAGUGAGGAUACUGCCCCAGGCUAUAAAACUGUUAGUGGCUAAUUAUGACACCUUAGAAGAAUAGAUAAUUUAAAAUCAAUAUAUUGUGCCUAUAUGUUGUCAUUUAACCGUUG